rnacentral:ribozyme from 1 species
AGUGUCAGUCUUUAUAAUUCGACUGAGAAUGUGGAAUCUGAUCCUGAAAAACAAGCCAUGAUUAACAUGAACAGCACCAGGCAAAACAGUAGCAUACGAAAGCUCAAGAAGCGAACUUCUGCUGCUCAUCUUGGAGGUGUAGUAUAAUACUUGUGUAAGAUUGUA